GCGUCGGUAGUGCAAUUAGUGAGCACUCGCCCUCAGAAAGGAUUAAUCACGGGUUCGAUUCCCGUCUGAUGUA